GUUGGAGUAUAUUGAGCCCAUGUAUAGAGGCUCAUCUAGAGGCCCAUGUAUAGGAACUAUAUAUCCCACCCUUCUAGGAUUUGGAGGAAUACGAGCCAUCAUUUCUCUUCUACAGUAAUCUCUUCAGCUCUAGUCUGUUCAUGACAAUUAUAUCUUAUUGUUGAUGAUUUUUGAUGUAUUUUACCAUGCAAUAGGCCUAAGAAUGCUACAGGCAAUAAAAGCAACUCCGACCUCAGGUGCAACAACGCAGGUAUGUACUUCUUUCCACUGGAAGAGAGGCACCAGAUUGGAACAGAUCACAAAGACGUACAAAAACCACAUCCAUUUUCAUUCUGUUAUCUCUUAAGAACUCCACUGAUUUGGAAUCCUUGAAAAAUUCAGACUAUAAAUAUUGACAAGACAGAAUUCGCCCAUGCUGGAAGUAUGGGAUUUGUGCUCAAUGACUACCCCUCUUCCGGUGCAACCAACCGUCAUUCAUCAUACCCCAGUGGCUCCAGAUGAAAAGAAGAGCAGGUAACCCAGAGCCACUCACUGAUGUGAACUGUAGUUUUCUCAGGGCUUUCUGGCAUCACAAGCAUCUGAUAGCCUGACCAAUGAUAUGAUGAGAGCUAAGCUUGCAAUUGCGUGCGCAUGACAAACAAACAUCUUCGGUUUUCCAUAGCUGGAGCAAAAAUAGCAUUUUGAAGUAUAAAUAAUGUAAGGAAAUGCAGAUUUCUUCUUUUAACCAUGAUGCCAUGGUUAAGUUUGUAUGGCCCAAUCCUUUGCCAAUUCUAAGCUUUCAGUCUAAGAUUAUGGCCUUACUUCAA